GAAAGCGGUGCUAAUACCGGAUAAGACCACAGCCGUUUCGGCGGCAGAGGUAAAAGCUGACCUCUCCAUGGAAGUUAGCGUUCGAAGACGGGCCCGCGUCCUAUCAGCUUGUUGAUGGGGUAAAGGCCUACCAAGGCAGCGACGGGUAGCUGGUCUGAGAGGAUGAUCAGCCACACUGGAACUGGAACACGGUCCAGACUCCUACGGGAGGCAGCAGUGAGGAAUUUUGCGCAAUGGGGGAAACCCUGACGCAGCAACGCCGCGUGGGUGAAGAAGGCUUUCGGGUCGUAAAGCCCUGUCAGGUGGGAAGAAACUCUUCAGUACUAAUAAUGCUGAAGUCUGACGGUACCACCAGAGGAAGCACCGGCCAACUCCGUGCCAGCAGCCGCGGUAAUACGGAGGGUGCAAGCGUUGUUCGGAAUUAUUGGGCGUAAAGAGCGUGUAGGCGGCUUGGUAAGUCAGAUGUGAAAGCCCUGGGCUCAACCCAGGAAGUGCAUUUGAAACUACCAGACUUGAGUACGGGAGAGGA
rnacentral:rRNA from 1 species